CAAAGGCGCGCGUCUAGGGCUUUUUUUGCGAAUAACCUCCUGAGCAAUUUUUAUUCUAAAAACAGCCCUAUCAAAAUAAAAUUUACAAAAAUGGCCCUGACCCUGCCACACAGGUGCCACGUCAGCGCCACGCGGGCAGAACUGGGGCCAGGGUAUUAAGUUGAAUACGGUGAACCAUUCACCAUGUCUAAACACGGUGAAUGAAUGAUUCGUAUUUUUGUAUAUUGAAAAGAGGAAUAGGGAGUAGAGAUGUCAAUAGGUAUGGAUAUUCGAAAUAUUAUCCGAAUCCAAACCCGAAUAAAUUAUAUAUAUAUAUAUAUAUAUAUAUCAUAUAUAUAUAUAAGCUAUAGUAUAUAUAUAUAUAUAUAUAUAUAUAUAUAUAUAUAUAUAUAUAUAUAUAUAUAUAUAUAUAUAUAUAUUAUUUGUGUUUGGAAAGUAUAAAAACAGAAAGGAAAAAACACCUUAUAGGUAACCCGUAUACCCGUCAGUGCACCAGCGGGCGGAUAUAUAUAUAUAUAUAUAUAUAUAUAUAUAUAUAUAAUUUAUUCGGGUUUGGAUUCGGAUAAUAUUUCGGAUAUCCAUACCUAUUGACAUCCCCACUUCCUAUUUCUCUUUUCAAUAUACAAAAAAUACAUACUAAACACGGUGAACCAUUCACCGUGUUUGAACAUAGUGAAUGGUUCACCGUGUUUAACUUAACACACGGGUCCCAACCCUACCCGCGUGGCGCUGACGUAGCGCCUACGUGGCAGGCUCGGAGCCAUUUUUAUAAAUUAAAUUUUGACAGGACUAUUUUUAAAAUAAAAAUUUGCCAGGAAGCCCGCGCAUCUAUUGUAGCUGAAG
rnacentral:lncRNA from 1 species